GACGUCGAAUAUCGACGUCAUAAACACCUAAGUUGAUCGUGUUUAUGACGUCGAAUAUAGACGUCAUAAACACCAAAGUUGAUCGUGUUUAUGACGUCGAAUAUCGACGUC